CGCGAGCUGGGUUCAGAACGUCGUGAGACAGUUCGGUCCCUAUCUGUCGCGGGCGCAGGAAAUUUGAGAGGAGCUGUCCUUAGUACGAGAGGACCGGGAUGGACGUACCGCUGGUGUACCAGUUGUUCCGCCAGGAGCACCGCUGGGUAGCCAAGUACGGACGGGAUAAGCGCUGAAAGCAUCUAAGCGUGAAGCCCCCCUCAAGAUGAGAUUUCCCAAUCCGUAAGACCCCUGGUAGACGACCAGGUUGAUAGGUUCGGGGUGGAAGCGCAGCAAUGCGUGCAGCUGACGAAUACUAAUCGGUCGAGGGCUUAUCCUAA
rnacentral:rRNA from 1 species